rnacentral:rRNA from 1 species
UACGUAGGGGGCAAGCGUUGUCCGGAAUCAUUGGGCGUAAAGAGCGUGUAGGCGGCUCGGUAAGUCCGCUGUGAAAGUCCAGGGCUCAACCCUGGAAUGCCGGUGGAAACUGUCGAGCUAGAGUCCGGAAGAGGCGAGUGGAAUUCCUGGUGUAGCGGUGAAAUGCGUAGAUAUCAGGAGGAACACCGGCGGCGAAGGCGGCCCUCUGGAUCGUUGCUGACGCUGAGACGCGAAAGCGUGGGGAGCAAACAGG